rnacentral:misc_RNA from 1 species
CUCCUUUCUAAGGAAGAACCCUAAUGGAAACGCUCAUCUGAUGAGCCUCUGCCUUUCGGUUCUCUUGGAACAAGACAGAAGAUAGUCAAUCUUACUGUCGUGCAUACCUAAAGCGGGUCUGCCGCCUUCGUUUCUCUUUCUUCGCGAAUGACUAACCUCCCUUUGGCUAAGCCCACAAGGCGUGCCUUGCCGGUGCAAUUGGUGCCAGCAGGGUUCGGUUUAGGGCUUGUAGCUCAGUUGGUUAGAGCGCGCGCUUGAUAAGCGUGAGGUCGGAGGUUCAAGUCCUCCCAGGCCCACCAUUUCCUCGACAAGGUAUCAGGGGCCGUAGCUCAGCUGGGAGAGCGCCUGCUUUGCAAGCAGGAUGUCGUCGGUUCGAUCCCGUCCGGCUCCACCAUUAACGCGCAAUCCGCGGGAUUGUCGCGUGGGUGUCGAGUAGAGAUGGUUGCCGUGGUCAGUCAUUCGAUAAUGAGUUUGCGUCGAGCCUCGUGCUCUGCGCCUGUUCUGUUUGACAUCGUAAAGAGAAGAUUUGUUCGAACUUCAUGAGCCGCAAGGAUCAUGAUUUGUCGCAAGGGACGCUCAAUCCCUUGCAUAUGAUGGGUUUGCCUAACCGCGCCCUCGAACCGAUCUCGAGAAGCUGGUCUUUUUGUGCCAAUUCCAUUGAAGCAAGUCCCGCACAGGAUUUGCUCGGAUGACGAUCUCUCCGAGAUCGCAUGAUGGGUAUUGGCAAUGAGAACGAUCAAGUGUCUUAAGGGCAAUUGGUGGAUGCCUUGGCAUGCACAGGCGAUGAAGGACGUGAUACGCUGCGAUAAGCUACGGGGAGGUGCGAAUACCCUUUGAUCCGUAGAUUUCCGAAUG